CACAGAGUUUGCCGGUGCUUAUUCUGUCGGUACCGUCAAGCAAUAAAGUUAUUCACCCUAUCACCUUCUUCCCAACCUAAAGAGCUUUACGACCCGAAGGCCUUCUUCACUCACGCGGCAUCGCUGGAUCAGGGUUGCCCCCAUUGUCCAAUAUUCCCCACUGCUACCUCCCGUAGGAGUCUGGGCCGUGUCUCAGUCCCAGUGUGACUGGCCGUCCUCUCAGACCAGCUACCGAUCAUCGCCUUGGUGAGCUCUUACCUCACCAACUAGCUAAUCGGACGUAGGCCCCUCCUCGAGCGCAACCCUUACAGGCUGCUUUCCUCUCUCGAAUCUAUGUGGUAUUAGCUAAAGUUUCCCCUAGUUAUCCCACUCUCAAGGGCAGGUUCCUCCGUACUACUCACCCGUCCGCCGCUCGUCAGCUGAUAGUAUUGCUACUACCACUGCUACCGCUCGACUUGCGUGUGUUAAGCGUGCCGCCAGCGUUCAAUCUGAGCCAGGAUA
rnacentral:rRNA from 1 species